CAGUCGCCACGGUAAUACGGAGGGUGCAAGCGUUAAUCGGAAUUACUGGGCGUAAAGCGCACGCAGGCGGUCUGACAAGUCAGAUGUGAAAUCCCCGGGCUUAACCUGGGAACUGCAUUUGAAACUGUCAGGCUGGAGUCUUGUAGAGGGGGGUAGAAUUCCAGGUGUAGCGGUGAAAUGCGUAGAGAUCUGGAGGAAUACCGGUGGCGAAGGCGGCCCCCUGGACAAAGACUGACGCUCAGGUGCGAAAGCGUGGGGAGCAAACAGGAUUAGAGACCCCAGUAGUCCCUGUCUCUUAUAC
rnacentral:rRNA from 1 species